GAUUCAAAGCUGCCUGAGCAGAGACUGUGGCAAGGAAUGCUAUGUAGUCAGUCUGCUCCUCGCUGCUAAAAUCAGCAGAAAUCUCCUAUCUCUGCCUGGGCUGGCCUGUCCAUCUGUUCUGAUGGCUUCUUUUAUCACCAGCAGCCAUGUGAAGAAUGACCACAUUAAAAGGUUAUUUCCAAAUGAGAUUGGGGCGCAUCCAGACAACAGCUUCUCUCAUUGGAAGGCAGUCAUUGGGAAUGUGAGGGAGGGAUAUGCCACUUGUCCUCAUGGGUCGUUGGAUCUAGUCUGCAGUUCCAAUGGCUAAAGUUACACAGAGAAACCCCCUAGCUGGAGGCCUGAAAUCAGAAAAGGAAAAGGUAUUGGGUUGAAAAUCAUCAAAAUGAGGCAAUUUUGACUUUUCCCACAUAUAAUUCCUGCUUGUAAUAAGGAAUUAACCUGUGAAAAAUU